rnacentral:rRNA from 1 species
GACGAACGCUGGCGGCGUGCUUAACACAUGCAAGUCGAGCGGUAAGGCCCUUUCGGGGGUACGACGAGCGGCGAACGGGUGAGUAACACGUGGGUGACCUGCCCUCAGCUCUGGGAUAAGCCUGGGAAACCGGGUCUAAUACUGGAUAUGACUCCAUGACGCAUGUUGUGGGGUGGAAAGCCUUGUGCGGCUGAGGAUGGGCCCGCGGCCUAUCAGCUUGUUGGUGGGGUGAUGGCCUACCAAGGCGACGACGGGUAGCCGGCCUGAGAGGGCGACCGGCCACACUGGGACUGAGACACGGCCCAGACUCCUACGGGAGGGCAGCAGUGGGGAAUUUUGGACAAUGGGGGCAACCCUGAUCCAGCCAUUCCGCGUGAGUGAAGAAGG